GCCUGGGUGGCUCAGUCGGUUAAGCGUCUGACUUCAGCUCAGGUCAUGAUCUUGUGGUUUGUGGGUUCAAGCCCCGCAUUGGGCU
rnacentral:tRNA from 1 species